GGAGAUUUGGCAGCAGGAAAGCAGUGCCACUGCACUUCUGCUACUGAGUUUCUGGACUCAUGGGGAGCCUUGCAGGCUGAAUGACACAGCACCACAGGCUCGAUUUGUGCUGCAACUGGGAGGUUGGGCACCCCUGUCUUAUACAAUGACAGAGUUCAACCACCAACCCAUGGCAGCAUUUCCUAACCUUCUCUUAUGGGGGCUUUCUGCAGUCUUUAGGGUAUACGCUGGGGUAUUGGCCAAUUCACUUGUGAAGAACUGGAGGAAUUUGACUGACUGCUUCUGUACAGAGGAAGGUGAGAAAUGGAGCAGUUUCCUCUGGCCUUGUCAUACUACUAUACAGGGCCAUCAAAAAUUUCAUCCCAAAGAUUAAUCUUCCUAAAAGGAAUAACUCUACUGAACUUGGAGGAUUAUUAAAGUUGACUGUAACAAGGGUAAAUGCUGGAUCACUGCACAUUUUGGCUAAAACAAUACGCAAAGUCAAACUGGAGCAGUAAUUUAGGUGGAAAAAAUAACCAUAUUUCUUCCUAAUGGUAAGAAAGGCAGUGUUUACACUGGAUAUAUUUUUAGUAUGUCUGAGCAAGAUUUUUAACAGCUUGGUCUGGGAAUACUUCACUUGGAAAUGCCCCUGGAAGCAUCCAAUGCUUUUCCACUUAUUUAAUCCUGUGUAAUGAACCUCUAGUAAGUUUUAAAUUGGUUCCAUGUUUUAUCCCCUCACCUGGUAGAAAAGUCCUAAAUUAAUAAUAAUCUAUUCUAUCUAGGUAUAUGGACUUAGAUAUCCAAAAUAACAUCAUUUAAUAAAUUGUUAAAUCUCAUACAAAUCAGAAACCAAAGGCACACAAACCUUUCUGAAUUAAUCAGAAUCUGUUCCUUAUAGGCACGGAAAUAAAAAAGAAGUUAGUAUUGUUCUAGUGUUAAUUCCUUAGGAGCAACUCAAAUGAGAGAUCAGACGAUUAUAGAAUAGACAAAGAUACGUUUGUGUGGAACAUUACUUUCGCAGAAAGAUGAGCUGAAGGUGGCCCUUUUUACUAGCAACCAAACAACAUGCAAUCACAUCAUUUCUGCCCAAGGAGUUGUAAAUAACUGUAUGCACAUUUACAGUCAUAAGUAUGGAAGAACAUUAAUAUUCUGAGAAGUAGUAUCUAAAGAUACUUAAGGGCAAGGCACAAUGGGCACUGCCUGCCUCUUAUUUCAUUCCACUACACAUCACUGGCAAAGAGGCCAUUUAUCUUUAUGUUCCAAAUUCAACAAAAAACUAUGCAGCUCUACACAUGACUGGCGAAGACUCACAAGUCAGUUGGAAACUGAUUUUAACUUCAUUGCAUUGGAUGGAGAGCCAAGUUAUCUAUAAAGGCUGAUUUCAAUAAAAGAGACAUCUAUGUUGCACACCAUGGAAGAUGGAUAUAUUUUUAUUGAAUAAGACCCUUAAAGAUAAAUGACUCUGCUAUCAGUGCAGUGCAAUGAAAAUAAUACUGGAGGCAGACAGUCUCCAAUAUGUCUUGUGCAGAAUAAACAGAGUGAGUGGCAGUGUGACAUAAUACAUUAAAAAAGAAGAAAAUCAGUGGCGACAGGCAGUGUUCUGUGUUUGUAUCUCUGUUUUAAGGGUUUCUUUAAUCUUGUAAAAGAUUUUAUAGCUUAAGACAAUCCUGUCCUACCACAACCUAAAUGCUGCAUUCGUGCAAGCAAAAAUUUAAAAGCAGAAAUAUAAUAUAAUCAUGACUCCAACACACAAAAAAUAAUGAUAGAGAUUACACCCAAAUAUUGUGAGACUAUUUUAUCUUUUACAUUUACUGAUAUGUUUUUGACUCAUCUGUUGUUUAGACAGAUUUUGAGCAUCAGGCCUAAAGCUAUAGGAGAAUGAAAACUAUUUUUGUUGGAGCCUCACAGUAGAAAGAGGUCUAGCUAGAAUCCUACAGAGGCUGAAGAUGAAGAGUUCUGUCACCUAAAUGGAAUUUCAGAACAUUGUGUGGGUAUCCUUUACUCAAAUAUUUCCUUUGAAGUCCAGGCUUCACAUAAAAGCUGCUUUCCCUGGUGUAGAACUUCAGGCAGCACAAAGACCGCCUCACCUCCAUUGGGAAUAAAGAUGCAGCUUCACCUGCUGACACACAGCAGUGCUCUUUGCACACCUUCCAAAAUGAGAGUAAAUCAAACCCAAUACAGAAAUAAGUGGUUUUCCAUGCUUUCCCUAUGAAACUCGCUACUGAUUGUAAAUAUAUACUUUUUUGUGUUCCUGAAAAGA